rnacentral:rRNA from 1 species
UACGUAGGGGGCUAGCGUUGUCCGGAUUUAUUGGGCGUAAAGAGCGUGUAGGCGGCCAGGUAGGUCUGCUGUGAAAACUCGAGGCUCAACCUCGAGACGUCGGCGGAAACCAUCUGGCUAGAGUCCGGAAGAGGAGAGUGGAAUUCCUGGUGUAGCGGUGAAAUGCGCAGAUAUCAGGAAGAACACCCGUGGCGAAGGCGGGUCUCUGGGCCGAUACUGACGCUGGAGGAGCGAAAGCGUGGGGAGCGAACAGG